GUCGUGAGAUGUUGGGUUAAGUCCCGCAACGAGCGCAACCCUCGUCCCUAGUUACCAGCGGGUAAAGCCGGGAACUCUAGGGAGACUGCCGGUGUCAAACCGGAGGAAGGUGGGGACGACGUCAAGUCAUCAUGGCCCUUACGUCCAGGGCGACACACGUGCUACAAUGGCCGGUACAGGGCGUCGCUAACUCGCAAGAGUACGCUAAUCGCUAAAAGCCGGUCUAAGUUCGGAUUGUGGGCUGCAACCCGCCCACAUGAAGCCGGAAUCGCUAGUAAUCGCGGAUCAGCCACGCCGCGGUGAAUACGUUCCCGGGCCUUGUACACACCGCCCGUCACGCCAUGGAAGUUGGGGGGACCUGAAGCCGGUGGGCUAACCCGCAAGGGAGGCAGCCGUCAAAGGUCAAUCCAAUGACUGGGGCGAAGUCGUAACAAGGUAGCCGUAGGGGAACCUGCGGCUGGAUCACCUCCUUUCUGGAGCAACGAGUAGCGCGGCAGCUUGCUGCCGCACGAAAGUUUUCUAGCUAGUCGCUCCGUACCUCAAACUCGAAUUCACACGCUCGGUGGCUCUUUGACAACCGACGAACAUGGAUGGGGAUCGAGGCCGCAAGGCCCCGAUCCAAAGAUCGCGGAAUCACUCAACGAUGUCGUUGAAGUGUUUCUAGUAAGAACCAGAUUUGAGAUCAAACGCAAUAAGGCACACGGUGGAUGCCUUGGCACCAAGAGGCGAUGAAGGGCGCGAUAAGCUGCGAAAAGCCUGGGGGAGUCGCACAUAGGCCGUGAUCCCAGGAUGC
rnacentral:sRNA from 1 species